rnacentral:rRNA from 1 species
UGCGUAGGUGGCGCGCUAAGUCAGGUGUGAAAUUUCAGGGCUUAACUUUGAAACUGCAUUUGAUACUGGCGUGCUUGAGGACUGGAGAGGAGACUGGAAUUCAUGGUGUAGCAGUGAAAUGCGUAGAGAUCAUGAGGAAGACCAGUGGCGAAGGCGGGUCUCUGGACAGUUCCUGACACUGAGGCACGAAGGCCAGGGGAGCAAACG